CUAAGAGCACACGGAGGAUGCCUAGGCGCUAGGAGCCGAAGAAGGACGUGGCGAACAACGAAACUGCCUCGGGGAGCUGUAAGCAAGCUUUGAUCCGGGGGUGUCCGAAUGGGGAAACCCGGCUACUGUAAUAGGUAGUCACUCAUACCUGAAUUCAUAGGGUAUGAAGAGGCAGACCAGGGGAACUGAAACAUCUAAGUACCCUGAGGAAGAGAAAACAACAGUGAUUCCGUCAGUAGCGGCGAGCGAACGCGGAACAGCCUAAACCAGAGAGCUUGCUCUCUGGGGUUGUGGGACGUCUCACAUGGAGUUACCAAGGAUUAGGGUAGGCGAAGAGGUCUGGAAAGGCCCGCUAGAAGAGGUAAAAGCCCUGUACCCGAAAGUCUAAUCCCUCCGAGACGGAUCCCGAGUAGUGCGGGGCACGUGAAACCCCGUAUGAAUCCGGCAGGACCAUCUGCCAAGGCUAAAUACUCCCUAGCGACCGAUAGUGAAGCAGUACCGUGAGGGAAAGGUGAAAAGCACCCCGGAAGGGGAGUGAAAUAGAUCCUGAAACCGUGUGCUUACAAGAAGUCAGAGCCCGAUUCUUAAGGGUGAUGGCGUGCCUUUUGUAGAAUGAACCGGCGAGUUACGUUCCCGUGCAAGGUUAAGGUGAAGAGCCGUAGCCGCAGCGAAAGCGAGUCUGAAUAGGGCGAGUUAUAGUACGUGGACGUAGACCCGAAACCGGGUGAUCUACCCCUGUCCAGGGUGAAGGUGCGGUAACACGCACUGGAGGCCCGAACCCACGUAUGUUGAAAAAUGCGGGGAUGAGGUGGGGGUAGCGGAGAAAUUCCAAUCGAACUCGGAGAUAGCUGGUUCUCCCCGAAAUAGCUUUAGGGCUAGCCUCGGAAGAAGAGUCGUGGAGGUAGAGCACUGAUUGGGUGCGGGGCCCGCCAAGGGUUACCAAGCUCAGUCAAACUCCGAAUGCCACAGACUUGUAUCCGGGAGUCAGACAGUGAGUGCUAAGAUCCAUUGUCAAAAGGGAAACAGCCCAGACCAUCAGCUAAGGUCCCCAAGUGUGUGUUAAGUGGGAAAGGAUGUGGAGUUGCACAGACAACCAGGAUGUUGGCUUAGAAGCAGCCACCAUUUAAAGAGUGCGUAAUAGCUCACUGGUCGAGUGACUCUGCGCCGAAAAUGUAACGGGGCUAAACACACCACCGAAGCUAUGGCUUGAUGCUUUGCAUCAGGGGUAGGGGAGCGUUGUGUAUACAUUGAAGGUGUACCGUAAGGAGCGCUGGAGCGUACACAAGUGAGAAUGCCGGUAUGAGUAACGAAAAGAUCAGUGAGAAUCUGAUCCGCCGAAAGCCUAAGGGUUCCUGAGGAAGGUUCGUCCGCUCAGGGUAAGUCGGGACCUAAGGCGAGGCCGAAAGGCGUAGUCGAAGGACAACAGGUUGAAAUUCCUGUACCACCGUAAUCCGUUAUGAGCGAUGGGGUGACGCAGCAGGGUAGUGACGCGGACUGAUGGAUGUCCGUCCAAGCAGUGAGGCUGGUAUGUAGGCAAAUCCGCAUACCAUAAGGCUGGGCUGUGAUGGGGAGUGAAAAUUACAGUAGCGAAGGUCAUGAUCUCACACUGCCAAGAAAAGCCUCUAGUCAGGAGAAGGUGCCCGUACCGCAAACCGACACAGGUAGGCGAGAAGAGAAUUCUAAGGCGCGCGGNUUAUACAGAUUAGUCCAGGCUGAUCUUUACCAUCAGCUUGGACUUUAUUAUGGCCCGUUGGUCAAGGGGUUAAGACACCUCCCUUUCACGGAGGUAACAGGGGUUCGAAUCCCCUACGGGUCACCACUUUCAUUAAUAGCUUCAAAUGGGGAUGAGAACCCAUCAGGCUUCGUCGGAGCAUUCGCUUCGGUAGGAAUAUAUCGCAGUCUCGUUCGAAGAGCGAGUAUCCCCUAGGAGUCAAUAUUUCAUUAACCUUUAUGGAGGCUUAGCUCAGCUGGGAGAGCAUCUGCCUUACAAGCAGAGGGUCGGGGGUUCGAUCCCCUCAGCCUCCACCAUUUAUUCCAAGUGAAUAUAUUUUACUGACGCGGGGUGGAGCAGCCCGGUAGCUCGUCGGGCUCAUAACCCGAAGGCCGCAGGUUCAAAUCCUGCCCCCGCAAUAAUCCCCAAAAGUGAUGAGAAGCUUUGAAGCCUAUUUUAAUUCUUUCCGGGGAUCAUCUUUACCUAGUGUGGAGCCGUGGUGUAGAGGCCUAACAUGCCUGCCUGUCACGCAGGAGACCGCGGGUUCGAAUCCCGUCGGCUCCGCCAUUUAACAUUCUUGAUAAUAAGAUGAUUCAUUUCUCUUUAUUGAGAGCCAUUAGCUCAGUUGGUAGAGCACCUGACUUUUAAUCAGGGUGUCGAAGGUUCGAGUCCUUCAUGGCUCACCAUUUACCCUGUAUUAAAGGGUAGUAUGUAAGGACAUGUGCGCGUGUGGCGGAAUUGGCAGACGCACUAGACUUAGGAUCUAGCGUCUUUGACGUGGGGGUUCAAGUCCCUCCACGCGCACCAAAUAUGCGGACGUGGCUCAGCGGUAGAGCAUCGCCUUGCCAAGGCGAGGGUCGCGGGUUCGAUUCCCGUCGUCCGCUCCAUAAUGUGCGCCCUUAGCUCAGCUGGAUAGAGCGUUUGACUACGAAUCAAAAGGUCAGGAGUUCGAAUCUCUUAGGGCGCGCCAUUUUCUUAUAGUUGCAUAUGCCGGCGUGGCGGAAUGGCAGACGCGCUCGACUCAAAAUCGAGUGGGAAACCGUGGAGGUUCGAGUCCUCUCGCCGGUAUACUAAAAACGCAAGAUUGACGGGGAUUUAAACGCUGAUUGGACGCAAUGUCUGAUCGGCUUUUUGCGUUUUAAU
rnacentral:rRNA from 1 species